rnacentral:rRNA from 1 species
UAGGGAAUCUUCGGCAAUGGACGAAAGUCUGACCGAGCAACGCCGCGUGAGUGAAGAAGGUUUUCGGAUCGUAAAACUCUGUUGUUAGAGAAGAACAAGGACGUUAGUAACUGAACGUCCCCUGACGGUAUCUAACCAGAAAGCCACGGCUAACUACGUGCCAGCAGCCGCGGUAAUACGUAGGUGGCAAGCGUUGUCCGGAAUUAUUGGGCGUAAAGCGAGCGCAGGCGGUUUCUUAAGUCUGAUGUGAAAGCCCCCGGCUCAACCGGGGAGGGUCAUUAGAAACUGGGAGACUUGAGUGCAGAAGAGGAGAGUGGAAUUCCAUGUGUAGCGGUGAAAUGCGUAGAUAUAUGGAGGAACACCAGUGGCGAAGGCGGCUCUCUGGUCUGUAACUGACGCUGAGGCUCGAAAGCGUGGGGAGCAAACAGG